CUGUGUGUGGGGUACUACUCGUUGAGCUGACAGAGCAGGGCUGAGGCCUUGGUGAUCCAGUAGUCACUAGGCAGGCUGGACGGCAGCAUCACCGUCACCACAAAGUUAGUAGAGUGGCCUGAGGGAGAGAACACACAGGUCUGUCACUAUCUGGACAUGAUGCAGAGGACCAGAGAACACACAGGUCUGUCACUAUCUGGACAUGAUGCAGAGGACCAGAGAACACACAGGUCUGUCACUAUCUGGACAUGAUGCAGAGGACCAGAGAACACACAGGUCUGGCACCUACUACCAUACCCCGUUCAAAAGCACCUAAAUCUUUAGUCUUGCCCAUUGAGACAAUUGAGACAUGGAUUGUGUAUGUGUGAUAUUCAGAGGGUGAAUGGAAGACAACAGAUUGAAGUGCCUGAAUGGGGUAUGGUAGUAGGUGUCAGGCUCACUGGUUUGCGUCAAGAACUGCAACGCUGCUGGGUUUUUCACACUCAACAGUUUCCCUUGUGUAUCAAGAAUGGUCCACCACCCAACGGACAUCCAGCCAACUUGACACAACUGUGGGAAGCAUUGGAGUCAACUUAGGCCAGCUUCCCUGUGGAACGCUUUCAACACCUUGUAGAGUCCAUGUCCCUGACGAAUUGAGGCUGUUCUGAGGGCAAAAGGGGGUGAAACUGAAUUUUAGGUAGGUGUCCUUACCUGUAGUAGACAAAGUCCCAGCCCGAGCUGAGGUCUUGUACAGCGGAGCCUGGUAGAGAGACGGAUCAGGGUCAUAGUUCUGCUGGGGUUCGAAGUGCACCACGGGAAGCAUGGCGUUCAUCACCCGUGGCAACGCAUCCUCGAUCACCAUGUCGACGUCGUCCCAGCGACUGGCGUCCAUGAACAUCCCGUGCACCAGCACGCCGUCGUUGAUGGUGGGUAGCUAUGGAG
ensembl:lncRNA